AAUCAAUGAACUUGUAUAAGUAUAUAUUUUGAAAAUAUAAUAAAGAGCUUAAAUCUCUAUUGAUUU
rnacentral:tRNA from 1 species